CACUGCCGAGAAAAGCCUCUAGAUAGAAAAUAGGUGCCCGUACCGCAAACCGACACAGGUAGUCAAGAUGAGAAUUCUAAGGUGAGCGAGCGAACUCUCGUUAAGGAACUCGGCAAAAUGACCCCGUAACUUCGGGAGAAGGGGUGCUCUUUAGGGUUAACGCCCAGAAGAGCCGCAGUGAAUAGGCCCAAGCGACUGUUUAUCAAAAACACAGGUCUCUGCUAAACCGUAAGGUGAUGUAUAGGGGCUGACGCCUGCCCGGUGCUGGAAGGUUAAGAGGAGUGGUUAGCUUCUGCGAAGCUACGAAUCGAAGCCCCAGUAAACGGCGGCCGUAACUAUAACGGUCCUAAGGUAGCGAAAUUCCUUGUCGGGUAAGUUCCGACCCGCACGAAAGGCGUAACGAUUUGGGCACUGUCUCAACGAGAGACUCGGUGAAAUCAUAGUACCUGUGAAGAUGCAGGUUACCCGCGACAGGACGGAAAGACCCCGUGGAGCUUUACUGUAGCCUGAUAUUGAAAUUCGGCACAGCUUGUACAGGAUAGGUAGGAGCCUU
rnacentral:rRNA from 1 species